AUGCAGUUCCCAGGUUGAGCCCGGGGAUUUCACAUCCGACUUGACAGACCGCCUGCGUGCGCUUUACGCCCAGUAAUUCCGAUUAACGCUUGCACCCUCCGUAUUACCGCGGCUGCUGGCACGGAGUUAGCCGGUGCUUCUUCUGCGAGUAACGUCAAUUGCUGCGGUUAUUAACCAUAACGCCUUCCUCCUCGCUGAAAGUACUUUACAACCCGAAGGCCUUCUUCAUACACGCGGCAUGGCUGCAUCAGGCUUGCGCCCAUUGUGCAAUAUUCCCCACUGCUGCCUCCCGUAGGAGUCUGGACCGUGUCUCAGUUCCAGUGUGGCUGGUCAUCCUCUCAGACCAGCUAGGGAUCGUCGCCUAGGUGAGCCAUUACCCCACCUACUAGCUAAUCCCAUCUGGGCACAUCUGAUGGCAAGAGGCCCGAAGGUCCCCCUCUUUGGUCUUGCGACGUUAUGCGGUAUUAGCUACCGUUUCCAGUAGUUAUCCCCCUCCAUCAGGCAGUUUCCCAGACAUUACUCACCCGUCCGCCACUCGUCACCCAAGAAGAAAGUUUCUGUGCGC
rnacentral:rRNA from 1 species